rnacentral:rRNA from 1 species
CCCCGUAACUUCGGGAGAAGGGGUGCUUCUUUUGCGAGAAGCCGCAGUGAAAAGGCCCAAGCGACUGUUUAGCAAAAACACAGGUCUCUGCGAAGCCGUAAGGCGAAGUAUAGGGGCUGACACCUGCCCGGUGCUGGAAGGUUAAGGGGACGCGUUAGCCGCAAGGCGAAGCGUUGAACCGAAGCCCCAGUAAACGGCGGCCGUAACUAUAACGGUCCUAAGGUAGCGAAAUUCCUUGUCGGGUAAGUUCCGACCCGCACGAAAGGUGCAACGACUUGGGCACUGUCUCAACGAGAGACCCGGUGAAAUUAUACUAUGCGUGAAGAUGCGCAUUACCCGCGACAGGACGGAAAGACCCCGUGGAGCUUUACUGUAGCCUGAUAUUGCAUGUUGGUACAGCUUGUACAGGAUAGGUGGGAGCCUUAGAAGCCGGAGCGCUAGCUUCGGUGGAGGCGUCGGUGGGAUACCACCCUGGCUGUACGGACAUUCUAACCCAGGACCGUGAUCCGGUCCGGAGACAGUGUCAGGUGGGCAGUUUGACUGGGGCGGUCGCCUCCUAAAGAGUAACGGAGGCGCCCAAAGGUUCCCUCAGAAUGGUUGGAAAUCAUUCGCAGAGUGUAAAGGCAGAAGGGAGCUUGACUGCGAGACCUACAAGUCGAGCAGGGACGAAAGUCGGGCUUAGUGAUCCGGCGGUGCCGUAUGGAAGGGCCGUCGCUCAACGGAUAAAAGCUACCCCGGGGAUAACAGGCUUAUCUCCCCCAAGAGUCCACAUCGACGGGGAGGUUUGGCACCUCGAUGUCGGCUCAUCGCAUCCUGGGGCUGUAGUCGGUCCCAAGGGUUGGGCUGUUCGCCCAUUAAAGCGGUACGCGAGCUGGGUUCAGAACGUCGUGAGACAGUUCGGUCCCUAUCCGUCGUGGGCGUUGGAAGUUUGAGAGGAGCUGUCCUUAGUACGAGAGGACCGGGAUGGACACACCGCUGGUGUACCAGUUGUUCCGCCAGGAGCAUAGCUGGGUAGCUACGUGUGGAAGGGAUAAGUGCUGAAAGCAUCUAAGCAUGAAGCCCCCCUCUAGAUGAGACUUCCCAUCAUUUUAAAUGAGUAAGAUCCCUCAGAGACGAUGAGGUUGAUAGGUCCGAGGUGGAAGCGUGGUGACACGUGCAGCUGACGGAUACUAAUCGAUCGAGGACUUAACUAU